CGAACGCUGGCGGCAGGCCUAACACAUGCAAGUCGAGCGCACCUUCGGGUGAGCGGCGGACGGGUUAGUAACGCGUGGGAAUAUGCCCUUCUCUACGGAAUAGCCUCGGGAAACUGAGAGUAAUACCGUAUACGCCCUUCGGGGGAAAGAUUUAUCGGAGAAGGAUUAGCCCGCGUUAGAUUAGAUAGUUGGUGGGGUAAUGGCCUACCAAGUCUACGAUCUAUAGCUGGUUUUAGAGGAUGAUCAGCAACACUGGGACUGAGACACGGCCCAGACUCCUACGGGAGGCAGCAGUGGGGAAUCUUAGACAAUGGGCGAAAGCCUGAUCUAGCCAUGCCGCGUGUGUGAUGAAGGUCUUAGGAUCGUAAAGCACUUUCGCCAGGGAUGAUAAUGACAGUACCUGGUAAAGAAACCCCGGCUAACUCC
rnacentral:rRNA from 1 species